GGGAGUGCUGCACAGCGUGAGGUAAUACAGUAGGGGGAGUGCUGCUCAGCGUGUGGUAAUACAGUAGGGGGAGUGCUGCUCAGCGUGAGGUAAUACAGUAGGGGGAGUGCUGCUCAGCGUGAGGUAAUACAGUAGGGGGAGUGCUGCUCAGCGUGAGGUAAUAUAGUAGAGGGAGUGCUGCUCAGCGUGAGGUAAUACAGUAGGGGGAGUGCUGCUCAGCGUGAGGUAAUACAGUAGGGGGAGUGCUGCUCAGCGUGAGGUAAUACAGUAGGGGGAGUGCUGCUCAGCGUGAGGUAAUACAAGAACGUACUCGGAGAAUGAGAGUCAGUCUGUGUGUCAGUCUGUGUGUCAGUCUAUGUGUCAGUCUGUGUGUCAGUCUGUGUGUCAGUCUGUGUGUCAGUCUGUGUGUCAGUCUGUGUGUCUGUCUGUGUGUCAGUCUGUGUGUCAGUCU
ensembl:lncRNA